CUGUUUGCUAGUGGAGCAUCAUCAAGAUUCACAAUCUUUAAGGGGCUUUUUUGAUUUGUUUGAGGUGUGGUCCCUCUAUAUUGAGAAUCUUGAUGAUGCUGCAGCAGCAAUAAA
rnacentral:pre_miRNA from 1 species